rnacentral:tRNA from 1 species
GGAGAGGUGCCGGAGCGGUUGAACGGGGCGGUCUCGAAAACCGUUACAGCCUCAUGGCUGUCGUGGGUUCGAAUCCCACCUUCUCCG